rnacentral:lncRNA from 1 species
CUUCCAUACCUUUACAUCUUCUUCAAAUUAUGCAGCCGCCCAAGACAGUGCUGAAGAAACUUGAGAGCAUCUUUGCCCGAUUCCUAUGGGACUCUAAGGAUCAAGCACGACGUCUACAUUGGAGGAGUUGGAAGAAGAUUUGCCUUCCUACUGAUGAGGGAGGCCUCGGCUUUAGGAGAUUACAGGAUGUGGUGGACACCUUCUCCAUGAAGCUCUGGUGGUUGUUCCGAUCUCAGAGGUCACUUUGGGCUCAGUUUUUACUGGGCAAGUAUUGUAAGGGGAUGCAUCCUUCACUUGCAGCAGUUCCCAGUUCAGCUUCCCCUACCUGGAAGAGGCUGAAAUCAGUUGGGCCACGGACGGAUCCACACAUUGCUUGGCACCUUGGAGCCGGUCAGAUUUUCUUCUGGCAUGAUUGCUGGAUGGGCGAGACCACAUUGGCAUCGCUAUUCCCCCACAGACAGCACACAUCUGCGAGGGUACAGGAUUUCUUUGAUGACACUGGGUGGGAUUUCGGACGGUUAUUACAGGCCCUUCCUUCUCACAUGGCGGGACAGAUAGGGGCGAUAUCUUUAUGUGCAGAUGCCCCGGACCGAAUUGUUUGGAAAAUUACUUCGGAUGGUGAAUUUACCACCAAAUCAGCAUGGCAACUAGUCUAUUCGGGUCGCCAGCCUCAGGACUCAUAUCGACUGCUGUGGAGCUCUAUUUUGCCUGCCACUAUUUCAUUCUUCUGCUGGAGACUAUGGCAGGAGCUCAUACCAGUAGAUGUUGUUAUUCAGAGGAGAAUUGGAUGUCAGUUGGCUUCUCGUUGUCAGUGUUGUUCCG